rnacentral:rRNA from 1 species
UAUGUGAUCGUCUCUCGCAUAUCAAUAAGCGGAGGAAAAGAAACUAACAAGGAUUCCCCUAGUAACGGCGAGUGAAGCGGGAAGAGCUCAAAUUUGAAAUCUUAAAGGGUUUCCCUUUACGAAUUGUAGUUUAAAGAAGUGUUUUCUGUUGAGGUUUUGGUAAAAGUUCUUUGGAAUAGGACAUCAUAGAGGGUGAGAAUCCCGUAUUUGACCUUUACUUUCAACUUUGUGAUACACUUUCAAAGAGUCGGAUUGUUUGGGAAUGCAGUCCAAAAUGGGUGGUAAAUUUCAUCUAAAGCUAAAUAUUGGCGAGAGACCGAUAGCGAACAAGUACCGUGAGGGAAAGAUGAAAAGAACUUUGAAAAGAGAGUUAAACAGUACGUGAAAUUGUCAAAAGGGAAGCGUUUGACACCAGUGUUGUUUUUCUGAAAAUCAAUUAAAGAACUGUUUAUGCUAAGUUGUUUAGACUCUAUCAGCUAAUCUGCUUAGUUUUGAGCUUUUCUUUAAUGCACUUUUCAGUUAACAAGUCAACAUUAAUUUCUUUUGCUGUAAAAAAGCUUGAGGAAGGUGGCUUGAGAUUCGUCUUAAGUGUUUAUAGCCUCUUGCCUAUGCAGUCGGAGAGAUUGAGGUCUGCAGCGUAGAUCCUUCGGGGCUAAAUGCAUUUGUGCUAAGUUAUAACAUUUUAUAGACAACUUGUUGACUAUGAUUUGUUUUGUAGCUUACUCGCUUAUGUUAUUUUACCUACGCUUAGGAUGUUGACACACGCGCGUGCUCG